UUUGUCAUUGUGAAAAUGAUCAAGGGUAAGUUGAUCGAUAACCUCUUUUCAUAUAGCUGAUUGCAAAUCAAAGGAAAUGUUCUGUGGCAUCCAUAAAAGAAACGACGUCAAUGGGAUUUUUUAAACGGCAAAAAUUGAACCCGGAUCUUGUCAACCUCUGAUAAUUUGAAAAUGAACACUUGCUCGCCAUUUGAAAUUAUAUAAAAGGCCCAAAAUGUAGUCACUUCGACAUAUUCACAUUUGUGCUCGCAAUAUGAAGUUUACUUUCGCAUUACUUGCCGUUCUUUCCAUUGGUGUGAUUGGAACAUGGUCUGCGGCCACGAACCAAGAGGCUGAGAUUAUGGCCGAGGAAAGACAAGGCUUCUCUCUUGGAGGGGACUUGUUCAGCUCAUACUUUAAUGACUGCUCUCGUCAAUUUUGUCCGACGUACAAGCAUCGUUGUUGUUGUGAGGGGGCAUUCAUGGGAAGCAAGUUUUGCUGCGAGGUGCGAACUAAUGGCGAACCCUGCUCUCUGUACACAUGUAGAGAUGGGUAUUGGCAAUGUGCUCAAGGUUGCUGAAAGGUAUUCUUUGGUUGAGAUCGACAUUUGAAUUGGAUGUUGCUGGAGGAGCAAAGUGUUGCCCUUCCAAGUGAAAACACACAUAAGAAUAAAGUAACAUAACUAAUAUUCACCAAUUGGAAAACAAAAUAAACUUUCUCUGGCACGCCA